rnacentral:lncRNA from 1 species
GAGUCGUCAAAUACUAUAUCCAAAGCUUCUAAUGGAUCAUAUAAUCCGUUGUGAAUCGUGAAAACGAGUGAAAAUGCAGAAUUUAGAGUCUGUAAAUCGCAAGGUUGAAGACAAAGGCAAAAUCGUCAUUUCACCGAUCAUUAAAUUUAAAAUAAUUAAUAGUGAUUCUCCUUAUUUAUAUCUGCGACAUGUGUAUUUAUAACAAGGUACUAACCACCAGCUUACGCAUCUUCAUUGUUAACAUUUACGAA